AAACAUCUUAGCCUUUUUAAUUUUGGAUUGUGACCUUUUACUUUCUAUUGAUUUUGUUAUUCAUUUUACUUUUGUACUGGUCCCACUAAUCAGAUUGGUCCCACAUGUCAUCCUAAUCUCAAAAUUGGUCCCACGCAUCAGAAAUUUCAAAAUAUGUCAAACAACCAUUAUAACUUGAACCCCUUUGCCAGGUUACCAUUUUCGAGGUAUUCAAAUCACAUACAAAAUCAUUAUUUUGAAGAAUCCAAAGAGCAAAUGGAAUUCGUCCAAAACAACACUACAUUAGUCUAUUACAAUCAUUACAUUAUACUACAACCCAAAUAAGCCUACUACUGCCUACAACUACAAUACAUAAUAUGCUACUCUUUGGUGAUAUGCUUCACAGCUUCGGACUUGGAUUCGCACUUCACCUGUGCAAAAAAUAAGAAUGAACAUAUAAGAAUAGAAAUGCUUCACAAUUUCGGACUUGCUGAUAUGCUAACAAAAGUAUGAAACAAUAGUUAACAAGUCUGAGUUGGAAAAGGUAGAAGUAAUUUAGCUCAUCUUGUUAUGUCAAGAAUAGAAAUCACUUGUAGAUGGCAUCUGCAAUUCUGCAUAUACCUAGAGGUAAUUUAGGUCAUAUUUUUUUAUGUCAAUAAUAGAAAUCAUAUAGAUUUUAUUGAAUAACAUAGGAGAAAAAAUGUUCACCAAAUAUGUAUCACAAAUUUGAUGAUGAAGCAAGACUAGAUGAAGACAUUUUCUAAUUAAUAAGCAAUCAAAUAUAUACAUGCACCACUUCAAGAAAUUCAUGAGUUGGACAAUGCAUUAAUAGCAAAUAUGACAAACUAAUGUAAUUUUAGUGUACAACCAGUGUCACAUAGUGAAUAGACAACUUGAUUUAAAAAUGUCGCACCCAUCAGGUAUUCACUUUGUACAAGCAGCAUGUUACAUUGAGGUUGGCUCUGCUCAAGCAUAUCUAAAACAGAUUGAAGUCAGCGCCGUUGUGGUUCACAUGUUUGAGCAUAGAAAUAAUCAGGGCUAGGAAGUUACUAACUGUGAAAGCACAAGGGAUGAUGCAUGGAUAGACUCGACACUCAAUUGAACAGAUUGGGGGGCAACUGAACUAGUUACAAGACUUCUCAAACUAUCUAUGGUUGCAUGGACUGGAACCAAAAUACUUGGCACGUGCAACAAGAAAAAAAUGUACAGUAAGAGGAAAAACUUGGGCAGAUUGGGUGUUUUCUUCUACUAAUAUCCGUGACAACUUAGUGGAGAUGCAGUGCGUUGUGGACUGUUUGUUGGCUGCUUCUUCAAUGGUGUGGUAUACAAGAUGCUUGCAGCCUGAAACUGACAGACCAUAUGAGCCUUGGCCAUUCUUUCAGCGAAACUCCCACGAGCGUCCUUGUGAUCUUGACUGCACUGUUCGUAAGCUAGCUACUCGUUAGCACAGGAACACGAAAUAGCAGUGCUCCAUUUAAUUCUAGGGAAGCAAGGGCAUGGGCAAGUGCAAGCAUGUGGAUAUGCAAAAGUAUUUGUGAGACAACAAGGUGAGCUACAAUCUGAAUGGAAGAGUGUUGUGAGCUACAGUUUAAAUGAGAGAGUAUCUAUGAGGCUCUCUGUUGAAAAGAAAUGAGAUCACCUGCUACUGCCAAAUAGGUCGCAGAGGCCGAGCGCCAGGCAGCUUAUUAUCCCCUUGGUGGAUAUGGGCCUCGUGAUUAAGUGUGUCAGGCUUUUCUAAAUUAUACGGGGCAAUAUACAUAUAUGCGUGAAUAGUGCAACCGUAUGGGAGUUGCCCAUUUGUCAGGCUCGAGUGAAUGCAAUGAAACUGCUGUUUAAUGAGCGUGAUGAAUCACUGAUUUGACAGCUCGAAAUUAAUAUGUGAUGAACUUAUUGCUCACCCGUUCAUGGCAUCAAAAAGUAUCAAUUUUCUAUUCGGUCACCUCAUCAUUGCAUGCAUUUCUCUGUUUAUAUAAAACCAAUCCUUAAAUUAGUGUGCAAUUAGCUACUGUUCUGGAGCAAAUAAUUACUACUUCCUUCUGGAAUUACUAGCCCCUCGCAUUUUGGGUCAUGUUUUGACAAAUAACAUUAAGCAAUAAAAUAUUUGUUAUAUGUAGCAUCAAUAAUAUCAUUAGAAUUUAAAUUUUCCAUCUAAAUACAAAUUCAACAAUAUAAUAUUUUAUGACAUACAUUAAUAUUUACUAAUCAAAACUUGAAAUAAAUACAACGGAGACUAAUAAACCUAGAUGGAGGUAGUAAAUAAUUGUGCCUCUUUUAACAAAAAGUUCAUUUAAGAUGACCCCUAUUUCUCCCUAAGAGGUAAGAGAAAUAUUUGGUUUGAACCAUGAAGGAUAUAUUUGACAACAUAAAGUAUUUUAAUUAUGGCAAUUACUUGUUAAAAAGGAGUGUUUAAAGAUAUUUCCCACAUACUUAUUAAUAAAAAAUCAUAUUCGACCCAUAUGUAUAUGUUGUAUCUAGCAUAUGAAGACAAAUAAUUAUCAUAUUGUAUAAUGUUAUACGUAUCCAUGUGAUCCUAGAAAAAUGUAUACAUACUACAAAUGACAUUAUUAUAAUUUGUCUAGAUUGCAACAUAUCAAUAAUCAGUACGUGUAUUCGCAUCAUUCUAAGAGAGUCAGUAAAGAAAAUAGAUGCCCCGCAAAACAAAAGUAAAUAAAAUAGAUGUACACAAGCCAUGCUAGGAACAUGUAUGACCUAAUUUCUUUGUAAGUAAUAUACUAUACGCUCUCCAUUAAAUUGUUUUCUUGUCUAACGAAAUAAAAUGUGCAGGAACACUACUGGUACACAUGUUUGUUUUGUUGAAGAAAAAUACUGAUGGUAUUAUGUUUGCUUUUUUGCUAUCAUCUUGGUAAAUAUUUGUUUAUAUAUCAAAUUCAUCAAAUUAUUGUGCAAUUAGCUGUUGCUUUUUUAGCAAACAAUUAACAUACGUGACUCUUUUCAUAAAGAACAAAAGGUUAAGGUGCUAAUUAGAUAUUAUUUUUGGAACAAACUACUGUAUUAUGUGCUAAUUAACAUACGUGAUUAUGCUUCGCCCAGGUUCUACACAUGUGCCUCCCGCAUGGGCCUUGUCAGAAAAUAUGGUGGUAAACGGCUUUUCACGUGGCGGUGGAAAAUGCAAUACGCCUAACGGCACAAAUCCUAAAGCUGGUUCGGCGGGCUGGAUUCAGAGCUGCGUGCAGACCGGCCUCUGCAGUGCUUUAUCGGUAUUUAGAGUGGGUUUUCUCAGCAAGUACCUGAACCCGGUGGGCGAUCCAUCAUACCAUACUGCUCUGCAGUUGUGCAUUUGGUGUGUGCAUGACGACUCAGCUGCCUUACGGUGAUAGUAGAACGACUGCAUAAGAGUGCAUAUUGAGGAGCAGAAGAGAGAGAUACAUGUCAGAGGAGAGAAUAUUCGAUGGAAACAUGAAGAACGUGAAUCAGUUGUACGUACCUGUACUACUCUAAGGAACUACUGCUGCCAUCUUCCUGAUUGUCUUAUUCUUGCUGUCGAUGCUGCACUAGGGGAGCUGGGAGCACACUGUCAUCCACUACCUCCUCCUACAGAGAUGCCUUCAAAUCCGACGCGGGUCAGCGAGGGUCACGGCUAGGGGGGAUGGAAGACGCCGGCAGCAGCAUGCUCGGCUUUCAGUUCCGGCGCGGGUUCCAGCCUUGCAUCUGGUGGCUUCUGCAGGGAGGGAGGGAGAGCGAUUGAGAGCGGGAUACUGAGAGAGAGAGAGAGAGAGGGGGGAUAAUAACUUACCAUAUCGGAAGCUCUUAGUGCUCGUACUGACGGACGUCUCCCAUGGCCCAGCUCGACCAUGACAAGCGAAUAGGAGUCGGUGAGGGCCUCGAGGCAGCCCUUCUUAUCCCGCGACGAGCGUCCAUCGCUAGCCGACUCUUGUCUGCUCCGACCGCAAACCCUAACCCUAGCACAGAAGGAGGAGGGGGGAUGCCAUGGCCGCGCCUGGGCUGGUGGAUCUAGGGGUGAAGGCGAGGGGAAGGGUAGAGGGUGGGUGGUGGAGACGAGGUCGACGGUGGGCGGCGGCGGCGGCGGCGGUGGUGGGAAUCACGGGUUGGAGGGAGGGGAGACGAGACGAGCGAGACAGAGGUGGGGCGACAAGGUGUCUCGAUCGGAUCUGGAGCGUGGGAGAGAUUUGUUAGAGUUUAAUUAACAUGUGUUAAUUAUGGGGGUAAUCUCCCCUUCUAACUCUCAU
rnacentral:lncRNA from 1 species